rnacentral:ncRNA from 1 species
CAAAGGUUUGGUCCUGGCCUUAUCAUCAACUGUUUCUCAACUUACACAUGCAAGUCUCAGCACACCCGUGAGAACGCCCUUUCAACCUUCACUAGACCAAGGAGCCGGCAUCAGGCACAACCAUCUGCCCAUAACGCCUAGUCUUACCACACCCCCAAGGGUCAUCAGCAGUGAUAAAUCUUGUGCAUAAGCGACAGCUUGACUCAGUUAAAGAAAAGUAGAGCCGGCUAAUCCGGUGCCAGCCGCCGCGGCUACACCGUGAGGCUCAAGUUGAUAAUCUUCGGCGUUAAGCGUGAUUAAAGUUUCUUCAAAUUAGAGUCAAAUUGAUACUUAGUAGUUAUAAGCUUGCUAUCAAGAAGUACAUAAACGAAAGUUACUCUAAUUAUAUUACUUGAAUACACGACAGUUGGGGAACAAACUGGGAUUAGAUACCCCACUAUGCCCAACCGUAAACAAUUAAAUUACACCAAUCAGCGCCAGGGAACUACAAGCAACGCUUAAAACCCAAAGGAUUUGACGGUGUCCCACCCACCUAGAGGAGCCUGUUCUAUAAUCGAUAACCCCCGCUAUACCUAACCAUCCCUCGCCUAUCAGUCUGUAUACCUCCGUCGAAAGCUUACCAUGUGAACGUCCUUAGUAAGCUUAAUGAUCCACAUCAAUACGUCAGGUCAAGGUGCAGCUUACGGAAUGGAAAGUAAUGGGCUACAAUUUCUAACCUAGAACAAACGAAAGGCUACGUGAAACCCUAGCCCCGAAGGCGGAUUUAGUAGUAAAAAGAAAAUAGAGAGUUCUUUUUAACCCGGCUCUGGGACGCGUACACACCGCCCGUCACCCUCUUCAAUAGUGAUUAACCUGUAUAUAACCUUCCCCCCACGCCGUAGAAGAGGCAAGUCGUAACAUGGUAAGUGUACUGGAAAGUGCACUUGGUCUACAA